AUACGGAGGGUGCGAGCGUUACUCGGAAUCACUGGGCGUAAAGCGCGCGCAGGCGGUCUUUUAAGUUGGAUGUGAAAGCCUACGGCUCAACCGUAGAACUGCAUCCAAAACUAUUAGACUAGAGUGUGGGAGAGGAAGAUGGAAUUAGUUGUGUAGGGGUAAAAUCCGUAGAGAUAACUAGGAAUACCAAAAGCGAAGGCAAUCUUCUGGAACACUACUGACGCUGAGGCGCGAAAGCGUGGGGAGCAAACAGGAUUAGAAACCCGAGUAGUCC
rnacentral:rRNA from 1 species